GUUGCAGCCACUGCGGCAAGACUGUGCAUAAUAUGUAUGAACGUAUCCCUCUCUUGCCCAGACUGCGAUAAAAUCGACUGCAGUGAUGGAUGGUCUGUCUACAACUACAAUGAGAAAAUGCGAUGAAACCCCACGAAGGUGAUCCCUUGCGCAAAUCAGCGAGAACGAAGUAUUCACCAGGCCUAAUAUGCGAGCAUAAGCUUUACUGGACUGUGAGCGCCCGCUUCGGCUAAGAGGUGCCGAAUUGUUGGACUCAGCAGAUAUCAUUCGUCCAACUCGAUACUGGGCCUACUCUAGCUUCAUCCGAAAUACACGCUGCGCUCACCGACAAGCUCCGACAGAUGGAUCGGGCCUCGCGACCUUCAACUACCCAGCCGAAACAAUGCCGUCGGUAUACCUUACGAUGCGUACGUUGGUUGGUGGGAACCAGGGGGCCCUAGCAACUGGUAACUUCGUCCGCUGUGAGAACCCCUCUAGUGAGCUGAUCUGAAGUGAUCGUUUAAAUUACAAGCCCGUUACGAGCUCCCCUCAACCUACCGUCUGUUCAAGUCGACGCACUACCAAUGCAAUCUCGCAUCUCCCCAAUAGGGUAAUAUUGGAGCAGCGAUGCGGAGGGAGGAACGAAAUGCCUAGUAGCCAGGUAAUCAUUAUCGACUGAUUACAAAGCGGCAUGAAUGUCUAGAAGACUACCAAAACCAAAUGACUUUGAUCCAAAAGACCCUUUUGAUAUGCUUUAGUUCGUUACAUGAAUCAGGUUCAUUACAAAAAUAUUAAUGACGAGAUCAUUGUUUUAUCCUAUGGGAGGUUUGUUGCAAAAAUGUUUUUAUUUAUUAUAAAAAACAGGAUUUAAGGAGUAGGUCUGAAAAUACUCUAAAUGUAUUCGUCAAAUGCAUAAGAGGCUACAAUCGGCUUUUGGAAACGAACUUUUGAUAAAAUUUGAUUUGUCGCCCAACUAGGAAAUACGAGGUAAUGAAUCUAAUAUUAGGUAGCAACUUCAGCGUAAUUUUAUUGAAAGUUAUGCUGAAGUUGCUACCUUUAGUCUUAUAUACAAUGGCAAUAAGAGUAGUCAUGCAAAUUAUUGAAUAUUUAAAUUAUUGAAUAAACUGGAGGCAGACAAAACAGGAAAAGAAACGAAAGAACGAAGGAAAUGUAUUUUAUGUUCCCUGCGAAAGCAAUCUCUAAAAUAUUCGUUUAUUUUCACUAAAAUAGACAUCGUAUUAGCACAGGCUGAUGAUGAUGGUGAUGAUGAUGAAUCGCCUUAAAAUCACAUUUCCAAUAAACGAUUAUGGAAUAGCGAUAAGAAUACAAUUAGCGGCUUUUCGAACUUUUGCAAUCUACAUUGCUUCCCUUUUACCAACUGUACUAGGGGUAAGAAUUGUGCUAAUGACAAGCUUUUAGUGAACUACUGAGUACCUCGAAAAGCAAAAUUGAAUUUACUAAGUUCCCAAGAGCAAAGCCGGCUAUAUCUGAAAUUCUACAAUGCGCACAAAAUAAUGUAAAAGCUGUACUUACGGAUGACUUUCCACCACCACACCGAAAUGACCUCCAAAUGUCGUGCACUGAAUCUUCGUGUCGGUCUAAAACAUGUUUAGUCCAUUAAAAGAAUAAUUAAAGAAGAAUUCCUUGAACAGGCAAUGUGUAGACUGCUUACACUUAAUGGAUAGCAAAUGCUUAACAUUUUCUAUUCUGUUAAGCCAUGUUCCAUCGCUUGCUUUCCUGACCGGUGGAUUCUGACAGCGUUCAAUGCAUACAGGGCCCACACAGUGAUAAAUAAUCAAAGCGACAGUGACAUCGCUUAAUGUAUACGUUUCAAUACUCCUUCAGGAAGAGCGCGCCCUAUUGAGUGUAUUAGAUGCAUCAGUUUACUACCAGUUAGCCUAGUCUCGAGGAGAUCGGCUGCCGAAUGCGCGCAGCUCAAAGUGGCCCCGCGCUUUUCAAGCCGCCCUUUCCCAUUGAGACCUCACUGUUGGCGCUGGCCCCGCCAGCUUGUUCGAAGCAAUAGCCUCAGCUGCCUGAAGCAGCUGCAGAAUUCGACUCGAACAUUGAGCACCGAUAAGGUGAGUGGAGCUGAGACUGCGGCAAGACCAGUAAGCUGUCAGUGAGAUGACGAUGACUACGCCCAAAAAGAUCUCCUCACUACCCAAACUGCUCAGGGCACCAUUAUGGAUAUGAACAGGGCGAUUCGGAUGCAUGCCAAAACCAACUGGUUUUGUCGGCCCCUUCUCCCUCUGCCUGAAGCCAUGGUGAAGUAAUGAAUGAGAACGAAGUAUGCACCAGAACUGGAUACCGAGCGGCAAGCUACAGAAUGCCAACCGUUGUGCAACGAACUUCAGAAUCAACGGGGGAGGGGGAGAGAAUUUGCGAAUAAAAGUCUGUCGAGAGAAUGAGAGAGUCGUCGGCCGAAAAACUCUCUCGAGGCAGCUGCGACGAAGAGAGAAAACGAAAAAGAGAGCAUCUAUCCUCAUCCGUAGCAAAGUAUGCAGAGUCGGUUGUAUUUAUUGGAAAGGUAGAGUCAAUAGGGUUGGAAGCACCAGUAUGAAAGUACCUCCUCUCUUAAAGGGUGUUGUGUAAUA